rnacentral:piRNA from 1 species
UAAAGUUUGGUGAAAAGUAUCCAGUGCCC